AGAGUUUGAUCAUGGCUCAGAUUGAACGCUGGCGGCAUGCCUUACACAUGCAAGUCGAACGGCAGCGGGUCCUUCGGGAUGCCGGCGAGUGGCGAACGGGUGAGUAAUAUAUCGGAACGUGCCCACGAGUGGGGGAUAACUAGUCGAGAGAUUAGCUAAUACCGCAUACGCACCAUGGUGGAAAGCGGGGGCCUUUUAGGCCUCGUGCUGGUGGAGCGGCCGAUUCUGAUUAGCUAGUUGGUAGGGUAAUGGCCUACCAAGGGACGAUCAGUAGCUGGUCUGANNNGGACGACCAGCNNCCUGGGACUGAGACACGGCCCAGACUCCUACGGNNGGCAGCAGUGGGGAAUUUUGGACAAUGGGGGGCAACCCUGAUCCAGCAAUGCCGCGUGUGUGAAGAAGCCUUCGGGUUGUAAAGCACUUUUGUCCGGGAAGAAAUCCUCUUGGCUAAUACCCAGGGGGGAUGACGGCACUGGAAGAAUCAGCACCGGCUAACUACGUGCCAGCAGCCGCGGUAAUACGUAGGGUGCAAGCGUUAAUCGGAAUUACUGGGCGUAAAGCGUGCGCAGGCGGUUGGGCAAGACCGAUGUGAAUCCCCGGGCUUAACCUGGGAAUGGCAUGGGUGACUGCUCGGCUAGAGUGUGUCAGAGGGGGGUAGAUUCCCGUGUAGCAGUGAAAUGCGUAGAGAUGUGGAGGAAUACCGAUGGCGAAGGCAGCCCCCUGGGAUAACACUGACGCUCAUGCACGAAAGCGUGGGGAGCAAACAGGAUUAGAUACCCNNGUAGUCC
rnacentral:rRNA from 1 species